rnacentral:rRNA from 1 species
AUGGAGAUCGGCAAGAGGAUCCCCGCCUCACGGCGGAUUAGUCGUCUCGGCGUCUUCUGUCUCUGCCUCUGCUGCGUCGCCUCGUCCGCGGCCCAGCCGUCCCGCCUAGGCGAGCUCCCGACGUUGUUCGGACGUCCCGCAAUUCCCCAUGACUACCUCCGGGCCGCCGACGUGGCACGGCAGUGCCGGUCCGUGCUCUCCUCGGCGGCCGAGCUGACGGCCCCGUGGGCGAAAAAAGCUCAAACCGAAAAUCAAAACACAAGUCCCGAGUUGCUUCAAGAGGCUACCCCUCUGGCGACCUUCAUGCUCACGCACGCCGACACUGUGGAGCGGCAGCGCGUGAGUAGCUCCCUCAAUGUCAGCGGGGUGCUCACCUUGACCAUCAACCGCAACUGCUGCUGUUCCGACGACAAGUCUGAGAUGAUAGAUCCACACAGUGGCCGGCGUUCGUCACCGGAGUUCAAGCUCCUUCCUCGUAUUGCCAAGCUCAAGAUACUGCUGGAAGGCGUCUACACGGAGGCUGGUGGUGGCGAGAGAGUGCUGUGCAUGGUCGGGAAUGCUCUCCUCCCCAUGCGUGGCGGCGGCAACACCACGGAGGGGCCGUGGGACUGCGCCAAGAAUAUCGGCGAUGGCAGCAACAACUUCGAGCUGCCGGUCGUCGCCGAUGACAAUAUAGUGCUCAUUCUACGGUACCCAAAGGCGCAGACAUUGACAACCCGGGCGGUGCACGACGAGAUGACGAGCACGAGCGCCAAGUCGGACAGCGUGUACUUCGACACUGUCCGGCUGGUUUCGCAGUUCGGCGGCCCAUACGCCAGUUACCGGUUCCGGACGGAAGAGGAAGACACAAGUGGGUGCAGCACGCCCUUGUUCUUCUGCGACGACGACGUCGCCGGUGGCUGUGCAGGGGACCUGUACGAAGACGUCCCUUUCUGCGACAUCCUUCGUGCCAAUGAGCACGGUGUGCUCGCCGUCGUCCCCAACUGGAACUGUGACUCCACCGACGAGUUCUGCGGUCGACUGGGACCCUUUGUGAACACGACGGACAGGGCGUUCACGGGUUUUGCCAUCGUGAUGCAAGGCGUUCGGUGCGAGCCGACGAGCGGACUGGACGGCAAGGCGGCCGUUCUGGUGUCGGCCGUGUUCCGCGCCAUGCCGCCGUGGGAGGACCAGGAAACGGCGGCGAAGCGUGCUGGGCUGAGCGGCAUGACGCUGUCGACGGAGGGCGUGUGGAGAGCGUCGACCGGGCGGCUUUGCAUGACGGCCUGCCUGGGCACCGGCACCGGCAAGGCUGCGUGCCAGCACCGCGUCUCCUUGUACAUCCCCACCAAAUUCUCCAUCACCCGCCGCGGCAUCCUCAUGGGGCAGAUAACCUCCAUGGAUGGCAGUCAUUUCCCGCUGUCCUACAACAAGGUGGAGCAGGCCAUGGAGCUUCUCUGGAGGACCAAGCCCUCCAGGAUCUCCAGCAACCUUGCCGCCAUGUCUCUGAUUAGCUACCCAAGGAAACGUGCCCAUGGUGACACGGCGAUCCUCUCCCAAGAUCUCCAACUCCGAUUCCGGGUCGUGCCAAAGCUUCACCCUGUACCAGAAUGGAUCAUCAAGGGACAAUCCUCUGAGCGCUUCUUUGAGCUGCAGAUAUUCUCGAUUGGCCCGCUCGUCAGCUACGUGCCCCGCCAGCAGCAAGAGAGAUGGCAAGAUCAAGAUGGCGUGGAGCAGCGGCAGGAACUAGUGAACGUGUCGGCCGUGCUCACGGAGUCCGGCGGGGUCUUUGGAUGGUGCCCGGUGAUGUCGCUGGAGGGCGUGUACAACCCGGAGGACGGGCGGAUGCACCUGGUGGGGUGCAUGAGCGACCUUGUAAGCGGGAAGGACUGCUCCAUCGAGCUGCAAGUGGAGUACCCGCCGACAAAGAUGCGGUGGCUGUUCAGCCCCUCGGCCAAGCUCCCGGCGCUGCAAUCCUUUUACCCCGGGACGAGGUUUGACGGAUUCGUGGGGCAGAACAUGGAGGGGAUCGUCUGCCUCGCCAUGUUGUCGGCCACCAUCGUCGCCGCAUUCAGCCAGCUGCGCUACAUGGAUUCCCACCCGGACGUUGUGCCGUACAUCUCCCUCGCCAUGCUCGGCGCCCAGGCGCUCUGCUACGGCGCGGUGCUGGUCACGGACGCCAGGAUCCUACCCGCGUGGCCGAGGAUCCCUGCCCUCGCGGCGCUCCUCCUCACGCUGCGCCUGGCACGCAAGGUGCGGCGGUCGAGGGUCCGCGCUCGGGCGCGGGCGCCGCUUGAGCCGGGACGCGUCCCGAGCGACAUGGCCGGGCUGCACCUUGGCGGCCUCCUGUUCGUCCUCGCCAUGCACGGGCUGCGGGCCACGUACGGCGGUGCGUCGACCAAGCCGCCGCCGCCGCAUGUGGUGUACACCCUACAAGCACAGGGCCAGGGGGAAUCCUAUAGCCGGCCCUCGUAUAAUAUGGCCGCCAUGGUGGAGCGGUGCAUCGGCCUGGUAAGGGAAUGGUUCCUGCUGCCGCAGGUCAUGGGCAACGCCGUGUGGCGCGUCAACUGCCGGCCUCUGAGGAAGAGCUACUACGCCGGAAUCACGGGCAUGUCGCUGCUGCCACACGCUCUAUGGGUUCCUCCGCCCGCCUCCCGCGACGGCGCCAUGGACUUGUACUCCAAGGUUGGUGGCGUGGUGGUGCCGGUCAUGGCGGUGGUGCUCGCGCUCUUGGUCUACGUGCAGCAGCGCUGGAACUACAAGAUACUACAAGUAGUAGGCAAAGAGAAGUAUAAGCUGCAGCACGUGUAUUGA